GUGGGUAGGAGUGGAAAUACUACUGCAGUAAUCUCUGGAAAACAAAAUGUGUCUCAGCUUCUCUGGGGAAGUUUCACUGUUCUAUGUAUUGUCAUCAGUGAGUUCGGCAGCUAUUGCUAGUGUUCUUCUGCGUUUGAUUUAAACUCAGCUUCUAGGAGGGAGAAUCUGAUUGGCCUGAAGUGUGUCAUGUGACUUCCCAUGGUCUUUAGAUCGGAAGGUGUGAUGGGGAUGCCCUCCGGCAUCACAGGACAUGAGAGAGGUCUCUCGGUGCUGUAAAUCACGCCAUUAAAUCUGCCACAAGCCACAGAGGCUGUUGGAAAGAAGAGAAAGAAAACGUAGUGAUGAAUCUCCGUUUCUGAUACACGCCGGCCAGCCCUGCAACUGGAUACCGCACUAUUGCAAACACUGUGGCCCAUCGACGGACAAUGAUUUUUCUCUGGAUGGAGACUUAACAGGAGUUGUGCUGGACUCUGGUUGAUGGCUUUUAUGAAGACAUUGGAUGCAAGAAAUUCAAAAGAAGAAGAAAGUGAGUCCAUAUCUCUUUUGCACAGAGUAGCUACUGCCUGUAUUGACUGGGUCUGUCUGAGCCUAGGCUCAAGGAGUGAGGUUGGUUAAAACAGGGGCUAUGUUUCCAGGAUCCAUGGAUCUCUUCCAAACUCUGUCACACACCAACUGUGUGAUUAUGGAUUACUUCAGCUCUAUGUUUUCUCAGAGGUGAAACAGGGAUGAUGACCUUGCUCUUUUACAACAUGGGUGUGACGAUUCAGUAACGUAACUUCGAAAGUGCUUAGCACAAGGACUGGCCCACAUUGUGGAUUUUCUCUUUCUCGCUGCAUGUAAUAUGAAAGAGGCUGGAGCUGACAAAGGAGAGACCUAGCUGUUUUUCUUUCUGAAGGUAAUUUAUUGGACUAUCCCAGGGAUGUUUAUUUUCUUAAUUAGAGGUCACAAGACUCAAGGACCACUAAUGAAGGAGUUGGUGGCUGGGGAGCCAAGGGCUUUCCCCAUUUCUUCCAAGUCUCUUCUUAGACUUAAAAAAAAGGUCCCCUGUAAGUUUUAUGACUGCAGUGUCAAAAGUCUUCUAUCCAAAAUGCAGUAAAUAUUCUAAUGAAGUCUGGAAAGAAAGCCAUUUGUAAUGGCUUGAGGCAGAGUAUUAAGAUAGCCUGUUUCUCGUUAGUCAGUCAUUAGAGAGAUCUAACAUGCAUGGGAAAUGGUUUCCUGUUGUAAGUGCUUUAAAACCGAGUUUUAGGAAACCCCGUUUCCUGCCGGCUCAUUUGGAGACAGCAAUGUGCCAACUGGUCAGACUUUUCAGAUGGCCAAAUGGUUGCCUCCUCAGCUGCAAUUGAGUUCAGCUGCAACAGCCUCUGAGAGUGGGCUUCUUGUCUUGGGGGUCCUAGCAAGAAGUAGGAAGGUCCACAGGGGUAAGACAUCUGGAUCAGGCACCACUUGGGGGAUUUUGUCUCCAGUUUUAAGUACUUUAGAACUGAGUGAUUCCCAGCAUGAAUCAAAAACAGGAGGAGAAUCUUCCAGCAUGGAGCCUUGGUGCAUGGGUCUAGAUCCGACAGACGUAGCUCACGGGAAAAUGGUGGAUAAACUCUCUUGUUUAGGAGGUGUAGGAUGGCUGAUGGAGAGGGAAUUCUUUUGACUACCUGAUGUGUUGUGCAUUAAAAUGGGAUUUUCUUAAACAAGGAAGUUCCAGAGACUUCAAUUAGGAUGUAGAUGAAAGUAUUUGCUAAUCAAAUCCAUUUGCUUCUUUUUGUGUAUGAGAUGAGGGUCAAUACUGUAAGUGGAAGCAGGAAAUGGAUGGAUUGAGGAAGACCACACAUUUCCUCACCUCCAGGAGACACCCUCUGUAACAACUGCCCAAAUCCUAAAUCAGAAAGGGAAAUCCUUAGCCUCUAACCAUUGCUGCUUUACCCAAGAGAGGACUCCAAAUAUAUAUCUAGGCAUACUCUGCCAUUCUCUGAGAGGGCACAGCCAGACCUAAGCCUGAUAUAUAUACUUUCUUAACUAAUUGUCAGAACAAUGCAGUGAGAAAGUACUUUUACUAUCCUCUAGGGGCCUGCC